rnacentral:rRNA from 1 species
AUGGGGCGCACCAACAAGUCCUCCCUCGCGCUGGCGUGCCUGCUCGCCCUGCUGCUAGUGCAGCUACCCCGAGGAGCCCGUGCAGACGGGGAUCUGUGCGGCAAGGUGAAGUGCAGCAUGGGGAGCUGCGGCGAGUCCGGCGACUACAUGUUCGGGUUCGCCUGCCGCUGCAACCCGGGGUGGAGACGGUACCAUCUCGGCGACGUGGACUUCCCCUUCCUCCCCUGCGUCAUACCAAACUGCACCAUCAACUACUCGUGCCAGGACGGGCCGUCUCCUCCGGCUCCGGCACCGCCGCCGCCAGCAGCGCCACCGCUGACAAACCUCUCAGUCUACGACCCUUGCUUGAUGCAGUACUGCGGGGGCGGCACCUGCGAGAAGGUGGAGUCCUCGGCGUUCGCGCACAGGUGCGCCUGCCCCGACGGCUUCAAGAACCUCCUCGACGACGCCGCCUACCCCUGCUACCGCCAGUGCUCCCUGGGAUCAGGCUGCUCCGACCUCGGGAUCGGCAUACUCAACGGGUCCGACCCGAGCACGUCGCCGCCAGCACCCGUCUCCUUCACCGUCCAGAAGAGCGGCGCUGCAGGCGGUUCAGCACCACCGGCGCACGGGCUGCUGGGGCUCCUCAUACUGAUUUCCUUCUUCUGGGCCCACAGUUUUGUGAAUUAG